rnacentral:tRNA from 1 species
UGGCCCGUGGUGUAAUUGGCAACACGGCUGACUCUGGAUCAGCUAUUCUAGGUUCAAGUCCUAGCGGGCCAG